AUUGAACGCUGGCGGCAUGCUUUACACAUGCGAGUCGAACGGCAGCACGGGCUUCGGCCUGGCGGCGAGUGGCGAACGGGUGAGUAAUACAUCGGAACGUGCCCAGUAGUGGGGGAUAGCUCGGCGAAAGCCGGAUUAAUACCGCAUACGACCUGAGGGUGAAAGCGGGGGAUCUUCGGACCUCGCGCUAUUGGAGCGGCCGAUGGCAGAUUAGCUAGUUGGUGGGGUAAAGGCCUACCAAGGCGACGAUCUGUAGCUGGUCUGAGAGGACGACCAGCCACACUGGGACUGAGACACGGCCCAGACUCCUACGGGAGGCAGCAGUGGGGAAUUUUGGACAAUGGGCGAAAGCCUGAUCCAGCAAUGCCGCGUGUGUGAUGAAGGCCUUCGGGUUGUAAAGCACUUUUGGCGGGAACGAAAAGGACUGUGCCAAUACCACGGUUCGAUGACGGUACCCGCAGAAUAAGCACCGGCUAACUACGUG
rnacentral:rRNA from 1 species